CUUUAAUGUGUGUUAUUAGGCCAGGAAGACAGAAUGUGGAGAGCAUGAGGAUGAAGACACUUUGCAAAUGUGGGGAACUACCAGAAACCAAAGUGAAGGGAUGGACAUAUGGACAUCUGGAUAUCUGUCUAAUAUGGCAUCAAGAUGCAACAGAAAGUUACACCCAGACCUAAAUGCACCGGUCCUGGCUAACUGACUUUGAUGUUCCCAUGACAUGCAUCAACACUCAGCUUUAAGAUGGCUGCACUGGUACUCCUCUCACUAAUUGUUUUCUACUCCUAAAUAGUGUCUGCUUCCGACACAAUGGCUUGGGAGCUCUGAGGACUUUGGGCCUUGGAAAUUUUAUGGGUCUGCUGAUUUGAGCUACUGAGGAGACUUUUGCAAAUGUACCUGGAGAUGACACGCACACAGUAAAUCCCUUCAGAACGUCACUGGUGUUUUCAAAACAGCACGAAACUGACACAUGUCAGUGGUACAAGGAACUCUGGGGGAAGCUGAGGAGCCAGGCUACCCUUUACAAAGCCAGAACUUUUCUUGUUAAAAUCAGAAAAAUCAUGGAAGAUGCCAUCGUCCAAUGAGAGAAACUUUAUUAAGAUGAAGAAA